CCAUCGACAUCACUUUCUUCUCUGCAACUCGAGCUCUGCUCCCGCCUCACCCUACAGCCCAUACCACCACCACCUCUACUCAAACAGUUCCCCAAACAACCUAUCAUCAUCAUCACCAUCACUCUUCUCUCCACCUUUUAUCAACCUACUUCUUCACUUUCUUCUCUCUCAGUAGCCUAUGUGAAGAAUUAGGUCAAUAAUAGUUGGAGUAAGAAUCAGGUCUGCAACUCGCACCACAACAGCAUGGUAGGAAGCAACAACAUGGGUAGAAGCAGUGGAGUGGAAAUCAGUCGAAUUUGGUGUCGGCCAUACUGUUGUGCAAACCAAAGAAAAGAGAGAACAAGCUUGUGGUGCUGCUGUUCAAGCCAAGGAAAAGAAGAGGAGCAGGACAUCUUGUGGGUUAAAGCUUAACCCAGCUGAGCAUAAACCCAGUUCUACACUGGGUGUGUGGUAUUUUACUUCCACUCCGAUUUCUGGGCUUUUAUUAAGACUUGUUCACUGAACUGUGGGCUUAAACCCAAACCCAAACUAAAGAAGGCUGUGUUUAGGCAUGGAAAAUUUCUUGUUUGGUCCUAGGCCCAUAUAGUUAUUUAUAGUAGGGUCCAACCGGAAUCUUUUUUUAUCAGGAGGUCCAAAAUUAAUUAAAACAUGAAAAUGUCCAUAAUGCCCAUUACUACCAAA